rnacentral:rRNA from 1 species
UACGGGGGGGGCAAGCGUUGUUCGGAAUUACUGGGUUUAAAGGGUGCGUAGGUGGGCUGUUAAGUCAGUGGUGAAAUCUCCGGGCUCAACCCGGAAACUGCCAUUGAUACUAUCAGUCUUGAAUAUCGUGGAGGUAAGCGGAAUAUGUCAUGUAGCGGUGAAAUGCUUAGAUAUGACAUAGAACACCAAUUGCGAAGGCAGCUUGCUACCCGAAUAUUGACACUGAGGCACGAAAGCGUGGGGAUCAAACAGG